AGCUUAGUUUUAAUAGAAAAUGAAUUCUAUGACGCUGUUGUAAAACCACCUCUGAUUGGGCCGAUCCAAAAGCGGUGAUAACAAGCUGGAGAGUGUCAGAAGCAGGAAAUCUCCCUCAUUCUACAGAAAGACGGGCAAAGGGUUAAACCAGAAAAGCUGCCUCGUUUUACAAAAAGACUGCAAAGGUAAACAUUUUUAAUUUUACCCUGAGCUUUAUUGU